CAAAAGAGAUAAAGCCUUUUAUGGAUUCCACCACAGACUUGGGACUUCUCAAAUAUAACACACCCUUGAGUUCACAGAGGGUCAAAUGUGCUUCUGUGCAGUGGGUUAGCACAAAUCUUAUCAUCAUGAAAGUUCCUCAUAAAUCUUGGACACGGGAUUUUUCUCUUUAUGGAGAUCAUUUUUGCCUAACUCAAAGUACAUUUUGUAGUGAAUAGGAAUGUGAGUGUUUGGAGAGGCCUUUAAACAUCGUUUGUAGUUAAGAAGCCGAAUACAGUGCAGAUAUGGACAUUGCAAUGCAGACUUUAUUAAUCAGUGAUCACACGUUGAUUUCUUCAUAAAGUUAAAAACAUGUAAAUGUGACCCACUAGAUUAAAUUCCAGAUGUUCCUUAGUCUCUAUUCUGGAUUUGCCAUUGUUUUGUACCUAUCCAGGGUUCAGUCACUUCAAUUUUUUUAAGUAUGGAAAACUUACAAUAUAGGAUAUUUCCUUAGUGCCUAGUAUAGCAGCAGAUGUUGAUUAAUGUGUCUGCAACUUCACGAAGUUCAUACAAUGCACAGAAACAUAACUCUUUGUGUAGCAAUUUCCCCAGGGUACAGAAAUUCGUGCCUACUUUAGACAAAUUUUAUUUUCUCCUUGACAGCUUUGUUGAUAUUAAAUGACUGGAAUUCAAGCUGUGUUUAUGGGUUACAACUGGUUGCAAUCUGUAAGACUUGUUCAUCCCUGACUAUGCAAAUUUAAUUCUGAUCCUAUGUUUCAGAGAAACUGCUUGUUGGAGCAAGAUUUAGAAUUUGUUUCCCAUUAAUAUUUAAGCUUGAGCUUAAAAUUUUCACUAACAAACUUCAGAUGCACAAUUAUACCUAGAAGUCUAAUAUGGAAAGGUCAGUAAGAUGGUUGGAAAAAGAAAAAAAGUCCUGAAAACUCAAAAAAGUAUUUACAGGAAAUAUUAAUGUACUUCUUACCUGGAUCUAGCAGAAAAAUUAGAGGAAAAAUGUAUUGUCAUGUAUUUUACUCCUCUCCCCUUUUAUCUAUUUUGUUGUAGUUCUAUGUUUUUUUGAUUGUUUGUUCACUUUUUUGCUUGUUCAAUUGUGCUUUUUCUUGGAGAGUGGAUUUAUUGACUUUCAAGCUACUACUGAAUCACAAUAUUUUUAAGGUUGGAAAAAAACCUCUUGAGAUCUCCUCCAAACCUCCUGCCCAAGGAUGGUUAGCUAGAACUGGUUGCCCAGGACCACGCACAGUCAAGUUUUGAGUAUUUCCAAAAGCAGAGACUCCACAGCCACUCUGGACAACAUAAUCCCAUGUUUGAUCACCUUCCCAGUAAAAUAUGUAUUUUUUAUUAAGUUGGAAUUUUAUAUGUUUGGAUUUGUGACUUUUGUUUCUUGUGCUGACAUUGGGCACUUCUGAGAAGUAGUCCAGCUUAAUCUUCAUUCCUUUCCAUGGUGUCAUUACAUAAAUUGAUAAGAUUUCUUUGUUACAUUGGCAUAUUGCUGCCUCAUGGUCAGCUUGUUGUCCAUCAAGACCCUGAGGUUCUUCUCUGUAAAGUUACUUUGCAGUCAGUUGUGUUCUGCACAUAGUGCUCCCUGAGGGUUAUUCCUCCCCAGGCGCAGGACUCGGCAUUUCCCUUUGUUGAAUGUAAUAUGAUUCCUGUAGGCCUGUUUUCUAGACUUCCCAGGUCUAUCUAAAUGGCAACACAACCCUAUCACAUAUCAGCUAACUGAUAAAAUCUCCCUGUUUUAUGUAAGCUGGAAACUCACAGAGUUUCCUCUGUCCCCUUGUCUAGGUCAUUAAAGAAGAUGCUAAACAGUGCAGACACAAAAUCGACCCCUGGAAUAUGCUGCUAAUGACAUACUUCCAACUGUUACUUUCUGUGGCUGAAUACAGAGCUCUGGGCUUGGAUGUUUAGCCAGUUUUCAAUCCAACUCACUGUCAUCAGUUUGUCUCUGGCUACGUUAUGGGGAGAAAACAUUACUAAAUUCAAGAUAUUCUUGGUAAAGGUCUGACAAAAGAAAGAGCAGGAAGGUGCUUUCCUAAUCUGACACUACUCUGAAAAAAAAAUUACAAGAAAAGCGUGAUCACUAUACACAGAAUUACAGAUGUCUAGGAAGGCUGCUUCUCUACUGUUCCUGAAAUCAAAAUGGACAUGGGAAGAAUCUAUCUAUCAUGGUUGUUGGUUUGUGCAUCCUGGUACAUGAACAAUUUGAAUUUCUUCUGCCUAUCACAUUUCUAUUAAGUCCAAGAGUUAAACUGGUGAUUCUGAGAAUGCUCAUGAACAGUGGAAUGCAUAGGUUCAUUAGUAAUUUCAUUUCCUUGAGACGCUGUAAGCUUUCUCAGUCAAUUUUAGGCUUUAAUCAAAUUUCAGGUGCCUAUUUUGAUUUCAUUUCUGAUUUUCAGUACUUUGAUCUUCUGUACAAAAGGUGGGAGGGGGUAGGUGAAUGGAGAGCUAUCCCUAAAUGGAAAUGGUUGUUUCCAUUAUCAGUCACAUCAGAGGUGCUGGUAGUACUCAGAGUGAAGAAAUUAGAAAGACACUGAGACCACAUGCUAGCAUGUUAUACAUAUUUAUACUGGUUAGAAAAAAGGCAGGAAGAUUUCCCAAAUUUGUUUUCUGUAGCUGGAGGAACAUCUGGGCACCAGGUCUGUGGUUUGAGGACCCAAGCUCUAUUUUCACUUCUGAUAGAGCUUUCUUGACUCAGUGUGAACAAUUUACUUUUUCUCAGACUGCUUCUGCAUGUAGAAAAUUAGACUACUCCUGAAUAGAAUUGUUGGAAGACUACAUUAUUCUUUGUGGGGUGCUCAUACAUGACACUAUGUGACUGCAAAAUACAGGUUUGUCAGGAUCUGAAUGACAAAAAGUAGCUUCAGUUUUUUGGUCUAUUACUUUUCCUUGCAUGGCAGAGUGGAUAUUGGUUGCAUGAAAAUUUUAACAGUAUUCUGUGAAAGCAAAAUAAGAAGGAAAAGAAGAAAAGUUCUGUCAAGAGAACUUUUCUGGUAUCUGAUCCCUCUUGCAAAUAAAAUAAAUCGUGGCAUGUAGUAACAUGUUGAUUUCCUUAUAAAAUAGUUGAGCCAGUUUUUAAUUGUCUGCUUACAAAGAUUUGCACUGAACUAGAACUGAUCUUAGAAUCAUUUCCCUUUCAAGGAAAUACGCUGUACAUAUUUUCUUGUCUGACUGCCUACUAUAUUUUUUUUAUUUUUUUUGUCGUAUGCUAGCAUCUGAUAUGUUCAGUUAAAUACUUUGUAGUUAUUACUGUUCCCUAGAAUGAAAGACCUGGACUUCAGAGCAAAACAUAUUCCUUCUUCUAUUAUAAACUCCCAAACUUUUAAAAAGCAUGCAGUUAAAAAUAAAGAAAACAAAAACAACAAAACAUAUGCACCUUGACUGCCAUUUCUGGGAGUGAAUUAUCACAUACUUUUGCUAAAGUGUAGCAAAACAGCCACAAUUUUUCUGAUUAAUUUUAAGUGUAGUGACAGAGAGACUGUUAAACUGAGAGACAGACGAUGUAAAUCCAGAAGCAAGUAAUAUGUAUAUUUCAACCAUCUGGGCUUUUGCUCGUUUCAAUAUUUGUUUGCUAGCUCAUUCUCCUAUCUGUAAUCUAGAGGUUUAUGGCAAAGUAAACCUAUUAAUCCUAACAACCGUAUUUUCAUUUGGAAGCUGGACCAACUGUCAGUAAACAUCGAAAGAACUGCUCAGUCUUCAGAAGACAUGUUAAAGGAGGGGGUUAGUGCAUUACACAAUUGUUGGAGGAAAAAUUCUGUAUUGGUUUUAUUGGUGCUGCUAUUGCUUGUGAACCUUGCAUGUCUCCCCAGAUUUUGGGUGGCUGAAGACUUAAUAUGCCAUCUCUUUGAGGAUUUUUCUGUGUGUGUCUUAAUUUAGACCUGCAUUUCAGCAUGGUCUUCAUUUUUAGUAUUAAUCAAAAAUCUUUUUAGCUCUAGGACUCUGACCCUUUUAAUGGCAUUUCAAACUUGAUGAAAGAUGGCUGAUGUCAGUGAAUAUGCAAAUACUCAGCUGCAAUCUUUCUACUGAAUUCUGUGCAUUCUGUCUCACUUCCUUGGAGUGAAACACAUUCUGUGAGUAACAUAAAUACAUCUUUCCCCUGAAUUUUUAAUUUAAUUCCUGAGACUACUUAUGAGAUCAACACAGUAAUCAAUAUGAGAGUGAAGAAUCUGCACUGAAUGUUGUCAUUACCAUCACAUAGUCCAGGAUUUAAAUGUAUCCUUUCACUUUGUGGUAUUUUGUGAUCAGGAAGUAACAGAGUAACAGUUUUAUUUUGGGUCUAUACUGCUUACUUGUGUUUGAACAGUCUACACUUUUACACUAUUUAUGCACCCAUGGAAUGUGUGAUACGUAGCUGAAAAUGAAAAGGCAUACCUAAAUUUUACCUUUUAAGGUUUUGCAAAAUAAAAAAACAAAACCAAAACCAAAA